rnacentral:ncRNA from 19 species
UACUUAAAUACUGAAACAGGUAUGUCGUGGAUAACACGAUUGGGAAGGGGGUGUAAAUCCCCCGCAGCCCCCGCUGCUGUGAUGCUGACGAACCCGCUGAGACCACUGAUCCAUAGGAUUGGGAAGGUAGCGGGGGAGAGUGACGCUAAGCCAGAAGACCAGCCAAAUCAGUAAAGAGUUUC